rnacentral:piRNA from 1 species
UUGUGUGUUUGGUUUUUGAGGAAGG